GCAACCUCCUCCUCCUGGACGGGAAUCCAACACCUCGAGUGAAAAUUUGCGACUUUGUUUACUCAAAGGUUUAUUUAACCCUGACACACCUUGCCAUUGUCAUGAAAUAUGAUGCCGGUGGAGAACUCUUUAAAUGAAUAUGUACCGCAUGGUGAUUCAGUGAAGUUGAGGAAAGUUACUUCUUUCAGCAAUUACUUUCAGG